rnacentral:rRNA from 1 species
UACGUAGGGUGCGAGCGUUAAUCGGAAUUACUGGGCGUAAAGCGUGCGCAGGCGGUGAUGGAAGACCGAUGUGAAAUCCCCGGGCUUAACCUGGGAACUGCAUUUUAGACUGUGUGACUGGAGUACUGUAGAGGACAGUGGAAUUUCCGGUGUAGCGGUGAAAUGCGUAGAGAUCGGAAGGAACACCAGUGGCGAAGGCGACUGUCUGGCCAGAUACUGACGCUGAGGCGCGAAAGCGUGGGGAGCAAACAGG